GUCAGCCCGACGCCGCGGGAGCCUAGGUAGUCAUCCAUCAGAAUAAUGACCAUUAAUGCGUCAUUCCGCCGGGCCGGACUGCCCUGGACGGCGCUCUAGGCAAGCCAUCCACAGCCUGAAGUGAGAUGCCAGCCAGAGACAGCCUGAGUCCGAGACACAAGGCAGAGAGAAUGAAGUACAAAUCAUAAUGGUCAUCACUCAGUGAACACACUCCCUUAAGCACCAUCCAGGAUGUUUAGCUGGUUUUUAAAGGAGAAAGAGACCGCUGAGAGAAAACACUGGAGUGGCAGCCCAGGCAGCUGUGCCUGCAGGAGGAUGCCUCCCAGCAGAACAGAGUCCUCACUUUCUGCACUUGAACUGUGUGUAAGAAAAUGAACCACCCAACUGGAAACAGGCACAAGAUAUCUUACUAGAAAAGGUCUCCAGAUGGUGGGCAAGCACAAGAAUGAAUGUCGGUGAGCUUCAGGACAGACAGGCAACUCCAGGAAGUCCAUCAGCUGACCUCGGCUCAUGUAUCAAAGUCCAAAGUUAUUCUUAAGUGAUGAAAUCAACCCCAAGCCACCCCUGUGUACGUCACUGCCUGAGCAGAGCCGCUGCCGUGGUGCACAGCCCUCCUGCAACUGGCUCUCCCCUAGGACUGCGUGAAGGCUGCCCUCAGGCUCCUGACAUCUGUGACUGUUCCUGCUCUUAGGCCCUCGGGGUAGCUAGGUUUUAAACAAAAGAUUCCCACACUAUGACACUGCCUCUGAGUCAUCCUUGCAGCAAAAUAGAACUCUUUUCCCCUGCUGACCCAACCACCGGAAGAGCCAUCUCUUCUCCAAAACCUGCAACCAGACUUGAGGCUUGAGAAGUUAUGGGAAGAACUUACAG
ensembl:lncRNA